GAUUCAAAUCCAUUUCAGAGAUACAUUUCUUCAAUAUGUUCAAUCCUAAACUUCAAUCUGUUCUUGGCAUCACUUCAUCUGCGAUCUCCGUAAUACCAAUCUGUCUUCCUGCAACAUCAUCUUCAAUCUUCUUACUAGUUCCAACUGCAUCAUAUAUCAUCAACUGUUGAACUAUAUCAACUGUUGAACUGCAUCAACUGUUGAACUGCGUUAUCUCUUUACAUUUAGAUAUCAAACAUUCGUAUCUCAUACAUAUAUAAUCUAUAUCUACUCUGUCAAAAUUAAGAACAUAUAUCAGCAUCUGUAUUCUCUAUCAUAUUCAAAUAUCAUAACUAGUAUUUAUUCAAUAUUACAAGGUCUAUAUUAUCGAUUGUUAAUAUCAAAUCAUCAUCUCCAAC
rnacentral:lncRNA from 1 species